CUCCCCUGUCUGGUGGGGUGGGAGACCGGUGGCUGCUCCCGCCGAGCUGAGAGCCACGUAGGGCACCCCAUGUGCUCACUACGCAUCUGGGAUGGCACCCCUGCCCUGAGGGCCCCGCAGAGUCCCACCCUUCCUGCAACCAGCCCCCCCAGAGCCAUUAAACCACCCACAAAUCCUGCCCCAACACCCCCACAGGCCCCAAAACGCCUCCGAGCCCUGCCGCAAUGUUGUCACUGACUCCAGACCUUCCCCUGCACUCUGUGCAAGGCCCCAAACUUUCCUCAAACUGCUGCCAGACCCAGUGCCCGCAGCAGUGAGGCGUUCUAACAAAGAUGGGGUGCGAUGUGCGUCUCCGCCUCGACUCAGUCCCGCUUUAGAGAAACAGGAAGUUACAGCACUUCCUGGUGAAGAGUGUUGACGGGUGAAUGUGCGGAUGACAAAGAGACUUUUCUCUCUUUUCUUCUGAGCCGCCUCUCAGAAGCCUCUGUGUGUGCACGAUGUGGCUGAUCUGGGAUAAUCGUGCUGUGCGCAGUGCUUAAGGAGAACAUUGCCCUAAAAUGGAGGGCUAAGGAAUAGCCUAAAAAACCUAAAAGGCUCGGGAAGAGCAAAAGAGAACACCGAUGGGCUCUGGGAAGCCCCAGUGAUGCUAGCGAAAACAGCGUGGCUUUUAGGCACCUCCUCAGAGCAGCAGCAAUGUCUCGCUCCAGCCUAUGGGACAAUGGGGACUCUUAAUUACCGCCUUGAAUUACCACAAGUGUUGCAAAAGCAGAAGGGACUAGGGAGCAUGCAGAGCAGGUUAUGGACUAUAUGUCAAGUUUAAACAAGCAACAAGCCCCUCUGCAAACAGAAACAGGUUUAGCCCUAAGUAAUAGAGGAAGGUAGCUGUGAGUAACGUGAAGCGAAGCGGUGACGUCAGUCACCCCGAAAGCCUCGGAGAAGCGGUCUGAAAAUCUGGUACCCUCGCGACCUCGGCAGUCUUUUUGGUUUGUUUGGCAGGGUAGCCCACCGAAGGGGGACAUCUCGAAGAGAAGCAGCAAGACCUGGGGAUCCGGUGGUUCAUUUUGGUCGUCGCCUGUGAGGCCAGCAUGCAAGAGUAAGAGGAAGCUAGGAGCAGUCUCAAAAAGAGAUGGAACCGAGGACAGCAAAUGCUGACGAGGAGAAGAGACGGACGAGCGUUUGCUUGCGGUUAAUACCGAAGGGACGGGAUGAAACAAGGAAGCCAGAAUGCAGCGGCCCCUCGAUAUCACCAGGAACUGCUACAGGAGGAGGCGUUCUGGCACGGGUAACUAGGAUUAAUUGCCACGGCUGAAGUUGAAGAGACCAAGAAACGUAAGCCCCGAAGGGGCACAUCUUGAAGAGAGGGGGCUAGACCUAGCGAUCCAGUUGUUCGUUUUGGUCGUCGCCUGUGAGGCCAGCAUGCAAGAGUAAGAGGAAGCUAGGAGCAGUCUCAAAAAGAGAUGGAACCAAGGACAGCAAAUGCUGACGAGGAGAAGAGACGGACGAGCGUUUGCUUGCGGUUAAUACCGAAGGGACGGGAUGAAACAAGGAAGCCAGAAUGCAGCGGCCCCUCGAUAUCACCAGGAACUGCUACAGGAGGAGGCGUUCUGGCACGGGUAACUAGGAUUAAUUGCCACGGCUGAAGUUGAAGAGACCAAGAAACGUAAGCCCCGAAGGGGCACAUCUUGAAGAGAGGGGGCUAGACCUAGCGAUCCAGUUGUUCGUUUUGGUCGUCGCCUGUGAGGCCAGCAUGCAAGAGUAAGAGGAAGCUAGGAGCAGUCUCAAAAAGAGAUGGAACCAAGGACAGCAAAUGCUGACGAGGAGAAGAGACGGACGAGCGUUUGCUUGCGGUUAAUACCGAAGGGACGGGAUGAAACAAGGAAGCCAGAAUGCAGCGGCCCCUCGAUAUCACCAGGAACUGCUACAGGAGGAGGCGUUCUGGCACGGGUAACUAGGAUUAAUUGCCACGGCUGAAGUUGAAGAGACCAAGAAACGUAAGCCCCGAAGGGGCACAUCUUGAAGAGAGGGGGCUAGACCUAGCGAUCCAGUUGUUCGUUUUGGUCGUCGCCUGUGAGGCCAGCAUGCAAGAGUAAGAGGAAGCUAGGAGCAGUCUCAAAAAGAGAUGGAACCAAGGACAGCAAAUGCUGACGAGGAGAAGAGACGGACGAGCGUUUGCUUGCGGUUAAUACCGAAGGGACGGGAUGAAACAAGGAAGCCAGAAUGCAGCGGCCCCUCGAUAUCACCAGGAACUGCUACAGGAGGAGGCGUUCUGGCACGGGUAACUAGGGUAAGUAUCGCUAAUGACCGUUAGCAGUUAUUUCGGCCUCCCCGAGGCAGCGCUGAGGACUAAGUAACCUGAGGGGCUCUGGCCUGGGUUAGGGCAGAAGUGCAGGCAGGCGGGAUCAGGCAUUUUCCUCUCAGCUCUCCAAGCUGAAUCCUAGCCCUGAAGGAAAAAGCACUGGGGGGAGGCUACUCGGACACCUGCCACGUCGAGGGCAGGGGCAGGAGCUGACCCUUCCCCGACGGACGGACGGACGGACAGACGCUGGUGCGGCGGUGACUCUUUGGAUAUCGUAGGUAAGGGGAGGCACGCUGGUGCCGAGCUCCAGGGCGGUUUGCCUGAACACGAUGCCCGGGGCAGGAGGUUACGCAUUGUGUCCGGGGCUGGGAGCUGGUCCCCGAGUCCCAUGUACUUGGGAGUGCCUGCGCUUGCCAGGGAGCCCGGUGCUGUUCCCAGAGCUGCGGGGAAUUUCCCUUGCGUUGCCUGGACCCUCGGGGCUCUUGGGGGUGUUUCCCCUCAUCGCAAGGGCAGCCAGAGCCCCUCCAGGGCUGCGUGAGGUCCCCGAACCGCUCCCGGAUUUGCUUUUGGCACUCCGCAGUGUCGCUCGUGUGCCUGGGGCAGCCUGCAGGCGCCAUCCUGUCAGCCGCGUUGAGCCCUGCGGCGUGCCUGGUGACCCCUCUGGUGUGCGCCAAGGCCCUUCCUCUGUAUUUUGGUCUGCCCCAGAGCCCUGCACUUGCCCUCUGAUGCCCUCAGGACCCCUCAGUUCACAUUCUGGGUUGCCCCCGAGCCCUCUGCGUGCCUUUCGGUGCGCCCCGUGGCCCCGUGUGUGUUUUGCGGCACGCCGCAGAGGUCUCUGUUUAGCUUUUUCUCCUGUCCUGGAGUUUUCUGGGUGCUUCUGGGUGUGCCCCAGGGCCCUCCUUUUGGUGCCCCCAGAGUCACUCUGUUUGCUCUAUCGUUGUUCUUUUUUUUUUUUUUUUUUUUUUUUUUUUCUUGACUUGUGUUGCACCCAGAGCUCUCGAUUUGUUCUCUUGUGCUCCGCAUACUCCCCUUUCCGCACUCUACACCCCAGGCAGGGCUCUCCCUUCAGCUCUCAGCAAGCUGCUGUCAGGAGAGUGGGGGUGCCUCUGCUGCCCUGGCAGCCCCAGCUGUCCCUGAAGGGGCUGAUGGCCAGGCCCCCUGCCCAGUUCCUGCAGGCCCACAGCUGCGGGCCCUGGGGCUGGGAUGAAUGCCAGGGGGAGCUGGGUGGCAGGACAGGCCCCAGGUGGGGCUGAUGGCAAGGGCAGGCCCACAUUUGGGGGCUGGGGCCGCAGUUGGGGGGAGC